rnacentral:rRNA from 1 species
UACGGAGGGGGCUAGCGUUGUUCGGAAUUACUGGGCGUAAAGCGCACGUAGGCGGCUUUGUAAGUUAGAGGUGAAAGCCCAGGGCUCAACCCUGGAAUUGCCUUUAAGACUGCAUCGCUUGAAUUGUGGAGAGGUAAGUGGAAUUCCGAGUGUAGAGGUGAAAUUCGUAGAUAUUCGGAAGAACACCAGUGGCGAAGGCGACUUACUGGACACAUAUUGACGCUGAGGUGGCGAAAGCGUGGGGAGCAAACAGG